rfam:Abiotrophia defectiva ATCC 49176 genomic scaffold Scfld0, whole genome shotgun sequence.
AUUAGUCUUCAGGGCAGGGUGAAAUUCCCGACCGGUGGUAAAGUCCACGAGCCUGGUACCUUAGGGUCUAGGUUGAACUGGUGAAAUUCCAGUACCGACAGUAAAGUCUGGAUGGGAGAAGUAAGCU